GCGGAGCUGCGAGGCGCGUCAGGAGCCAUAUCCCCGGGGCCUUAUCGAUCCUGAAGGGAGCUGUCCCUGACCGGGCCCGUGGGCUCGGACAUAUGGCGCCCACCUACUCUCGUAGGGAACCCGGGAUCGCCGCUCCAACGGCCGUUGCGGCUCCGCG
rnacentral:other from 1 species